CUUAGUGGACUGAGGUCGACCUCCCCUCCCCCAAAUCAAUAAUUUAAUGUGACUUAUCAGAAAGAGAAAGAAUUGUUUACUUUAAAGCCCUGGAUCCCAUAAAGGGAGGCUGGGAAAGGCUGAGGGGAAACAGACGCUCCGAGGGCCCUGUUUUUGCCUCUGGGCUCCUGAAAGGCAAACAAGGAGAGGGCCUACAGCUAGCACUAAGAGAGGCCAAGUCACCACUCAGAUCACAACUUGGGGACCGGCCCUGCAGAGGAGGAGCUCCCUGCCAUGGUAAUGCAUAGGGAGCUGGUGAAUUCCUUUUGGGAAGUCUCCGUGGCAGUGCUGGCGUUUGGAGGUGCUGCUAAUACUCUGCAGGCUGUGCGUUAUCCCCUACCAGAGCUAUGGAGUGUGACAAUGGUGUUUGUGUCCAGUCUAUCAAACGCCAUUAUCACACUAAAUAGCUACUGUUGGGCAAUCCAUCUGUUCCAAGAAGAGCAGAUCGAGCAUUGGGCCAUCUACUGUGGAUGGACAAAAUGAAAGUUAUGCUCAGAUCAGUGCCUUCACUCAUUUGCAGGGGCCAAAUUAAUGGCCAAAAUGGUGGGCUGAUAAUAUUUAUGUGCUCUGAGAGCCCGAAUUUUUCUCAACAUUGCUCUUAGCCAUUGCCAUCAAUAGAUGGUUUCCCAUAGGAUGUAAGCUCCUCGAGGGCAGAGGCUUUGUUUUCCUUUUCAUUGUUGUAUCCCCAGCUUAUCACAGUAUCUUGUACAGAGUAGGGGCUUAAUAAAUGCUUAUGAAAUUGGGGUGUAUUUCUGAGUCACGAAAAAGGCACACACGGCACAGCAUGCUAUUAGACACAGGAUGCCACAAUAAGAAUUUCUUGAAACAGUAGGAAUGAAGCAGAUACAGGAAAAAGAAAUCAUCUGAGAAAUGCAAAUAGCUGGCUUAUUAUUUAGGUAGAAAAUGAAGGUAUGUGGCUUUUAUCUUUUCAUUAUAAAAUUCCUUUCAAAAGCACACUUGGUAAUAAACUUAUGGAUGGCUUAAUUGGCCUUCUAGAAAUGCUA